rnacentral:rRNA from 1 species
GACGUAGGAUGCAAGCGUUGUCCGGAAUUAUUGGGCGUAAAGAGUUCGUAGGCGGUCUACCAAGUCUGACGUUAAAGGCUGGAGCUCAACUCCAGUAUGGCAUCGGAAACUGGCAGGCUAGAGUCUGGUAGAGGCAAGGGGAAUUCCCGGUGUAGCGGUGAAAUGCGUAGAUAUCAAGCGGAACACCAGUGGCGAAGGCGAGUCCCUGGACAACUCCUGACACUGAGGCACGAAAGCUAGGGGAGCAAACAGG